rnacentral:lncRNA from 1 species
AUCGUCUAUCAAAAUAUUCAUUUUGCUACGUCCAAGGAACACAACAUAACUCCUAAGAAGGGAAGAAUUCAUACCAUAACAAGUCGAAGUUUUAUCAUUAAACUAGGUCGUUAAUUUCACAUCCGUGUUGUGGACUUUUGUUAAUCUAGCCAUCAUUAUAGCACCUAUAGAUUUUCUUUUCCUUUUUCCCUCUAUAGUAUAACAUUCAUUUUCCUGAGUUUCAUCACUAGAUGAAUAGUCCAUCUAUGUGCAAAACAACAUCAUAACACUAAAC